GACGAACGCUGGCGGCAUGCCUAAUACAUGCAAGUUGAGCGCUGAAGGUUGGUACUUGUACCAACUGGAUGAGCAGCGAACGGGUGAGUAACGCGUGGGGAAUCUGCCUUUGAGCGGGGGACAACAUUUGGAAACGAAUGCUAAUACCGCAUAAAAACUUUAAACACAAGUUUUAAGUUUGAAAGAUGCAAUUGCAUCACUCAAAGAUGAUCCCGCGUUGUAUUAGCUAGUUGGUGAGGUAAAGGCUCACCAAGGCGAUGAUACAUAGCCGACCUGAGAGGGUGAUCGGCCACAUUGGGACUGAGACACGGCCCAAACUCCUACGGGAGGCAGCAGUAGGGAAUCUUCGGCAAUGGACGAAAGUCUGACCGAGCAACGCCGCGUGAGUGAAGAAGGUUUUCGGAUCGUAAAACUCUGUUGGUAGAGAAGAACGUUGGUGAGAGUGGAAAGCUCAUCAAGUGACGGUAACUAUCCAGAAAGGGACGGCUAACUACGUG
rnacentral:rRNA from 1 species